AGGAAAAAGACAUCAAAACUGAACACUGAUCAUGUGGAUAUUGACUCUAUCUCUCCAGAAAGAACUGAAUGAUCAGAUCCAGAAAUCAAGACGGCAGGAAGAUGCCAACUACAACAUGAAAACACACUUGGACUUUUGGAAAAAUGAGAAAGACCCAGCUGUGGUGGCUCAGGUGGUAGCAUACUGCUCCGCAGUGCUGGAAACCACAUGACCAACACAGAUUUGGAUCCCAAGUCAACUUCAAACAAGCUGGGUGCACAUGUGCCUAAGAUCUUGAGGAGCUGGAAGUUGGGGAAGAGGACUGCAGUAUGAAAAGACCCUUUUGAGGGUACUCAUCUCUGUCUCUCUCUCUCUAAAAUACUCUCUCAAGAGAGAAAUAAAAAUGUAAAAGCUUUUA